UGAGGCGGGGAUUAGUGGCGAACGGGUGAGUAACACGUGGGCAAUCUGCCCUGCACUCUGGGACAAGCCCUGGAAACGGGGUCUAAUACCGGAUAUGACUGUCCAUCGCAUGGUGGAUGGUGUAAAGCUCCGGCGGUGCAGGAUGAGCCCGCGGCCUAUCAGCUUGUUGGUGAGGUAGUGGCUCACCAAGGCGACGACGGGUAGCCGGCCUGAGAGGGCGACCGGCCACACUGGGACUGAGACACGGCCCAGACUCCUACGGGAGGCAGCAGUGGGGAAUAUUGCACAAUGGGCGAAAGCCUGAUGCAGCGACGCCGCGUGAGGGAUGACGGCCUUCGGGUUGUAAACCUCUUUCAGCAGGGAAGAAGCGAAAGUGACGGUACCUGCAGAAGAAGCGCCGGCUAACUACGUGCCAGCAGCCGCGGUAAUACGUAGGGCGCAAGCGUUGUCCGGAAUUAUUGGGCGUAAAGAGCUCGUAGGCGGCUUGUCACGUCGGUUGUGAAAGCCCGGGGCUUAACCCCGGGUCUGCAGUCGAUACGGGCAGGCUAGAGUUCGGUAGGGGAGAUCGGAAUUCCUGGUGUAGCGGUGAAAUGCGCAGAUAUCAGGAGGAACACCGGUGGCGAAGGCGGAUCUCUGGGCCGAUACUGACGCUGAGGAGCGAAAGCGUGGGGAGCGAACAGGAUUAGAUACCCUGGUAGUCCACGC
rnacentral:rRNA from 1 species